UGGAUGGAAGCUGCUGCAUCUUGGAGUCUAGCUUUCAACCAGCCUUCUACUUUGUAUACAGACCAGUGCCCCAAGAUCUGCAGUUGGAAGAGGAAGUAAUAGCUGGAAUACCAGUUUAAUCAGCCUUGUACUGGAAAGCUCUUCAGUCUCAAUAGCAGCGAGCUCCUGGAUACCCUUUUUACCGAUGUCCAAUUCUAACAUUUCUC
rnacentral:sRNA from 1 species